UGGGGGCCCCCAGCCCCAUCAGCAUAAUGACUAGUAACAAAAAAUCUUCUUGUUCUGGGGAUUAUUAUCAGCCCUGAGCCCUUCUGUCUGUUCUGAGGCCCAGAACUGUGGGCUGGCCCUCCUCAUCUCUGUAGGUGUUCUCUGCCUCCUGCCCUGUGUCUCCCCAGCCCUGAGGAAAUGGAAGAUUCCUGCAGGGGCUAUUUGCUCUCCUGUCUCACCUCCCUGCUUCUCCCCUUCCAGCUGCCUGCUGGGGGUCUGCAGGCAUGGGCUCUGUCCCCAAAGUACACGUCACCGGGCCAGAGAGGGACAGGGUUUCAGUGCACAGCCUUGGAGUGGCUCCCAAAGCCCCACGUGCAGUGGAGGUCCCUCAGUAGGGAGAAGUUCCUGGCAUUCUCAGAGACCCAUGCCCAAGAUGCUAAAGGGCUGUUCAGUGUGGAGGCUGCCUGGUGGUGAGUGACAGGUGUCCAGGCAAAAUGACCUGCUCAGUGCUUAGCCUCAUCUGACCUGCCCACCAUAUUGCCAGCUGUUUUGCCUUCAAUGCAACUAGUUCUCAGUCAGCACCUGGAAGCCACAAACCAGGUAUCAUCCCAAAUAUGCCUGAGGACAUCCCGAGGAAGUACAUGCUAGAAUAAUCUCCAUUGCACAGGAAGGACACAGACCAUCCCUGAGAGGCACAAUGGCUUAUCCAGGGUCAAAAUCAGAACUGCACACCAGAGAUGGGGCAGGAGUUGAGUGAUGAGAUCCUCUGCUCAACUUCCGUGAAAGACAGGAAUAUGCCCCACACCACCAACAGGAUGCGGGACCGAAGCGGCUCAGGGGUAAAAAUGCCUCAACCGUGAAUAAGAAUGAGACCAGCGUGGUGUGGACCAUCUAGGCAGGCUUCCUGGAUAAGCAAGUGUAGCAUCCAGUGCCUGUCUUCCUGGGCAGAGACCGCUGCCCUCCGCCCCCAUGUCUCCAUGUUCCUGGACAUGUACAGAACUUUUCCACUACUGAAAAGGUGCUGGAUCUGUUGAGUCCAAGGUAUGGAUGCAUCCUUCCUGAAAUGGGAUGAAGAUGACAGACCCCUGGAGCAGCAGAAAAUGGCCAUCUUCUCCAUUCUGGGCACCUGGAUGGACCACUCCCCUGAGGAUUUUUUCCAACCUGCAGAAUUUCCCUGCCUGAAGAUGCUGCUGGCAUAUGUGGGGCUUAACAUGCUGGGCUCACACCUGGAGCACCAUACCUCUGUUUUCCUCUCAUAGCUGGGACACAUGGAGCCCAAUGAGCCAGAGGUUGAGGUUAUAGCACCCGUUCCGGAGCAGGAUCCAGAACCAACUCAAGAGCUAGCCCCAGCUCCCACUGUGUUGCCUGCUGCAGCUUCAGAGCCCGAGGUGGCUGAAGCCAUCACUCCUGCUGGAGCUCAGCAAUUAGGAAAAGCAGUGACCCUCCCUACAGUUUCAGAGCCAGUGUAGGUGGUAGUUAUAGCUCUGAUUCACUGUCAGGAGCUGGAUGAACCACCUGCACCUUUGGCAGCCCCGGAGCAUGAGCAGGCUCCAGCCCCAGCUACGGGGUUACGGAAGGACUAGAACAACCACUUGCUACAGCUGAACAACCAGCCUCAGCUCCCAAGCAGUGGCUCAUUUCGGCUCAUCCCCAAAGGAUGGCUUCCCCUCCCCUGUCGUUGCUUUUUUUUUGAAAUUUUUGUGUUUUUUAUUCGGAUAUGGAAUGGCUUAGUGUAUUUUGUUUUAUAAGUAAA